GGCGUGCUUAACACAUGCAAGUCGAACGGAAAGGCCCUGCUUGCAGGGUACUCGAGUGGCGAACGGGUGGGUAACACGUGGGUGAUCUGCCCUGCACUUCGGGAUAAGCCUGGGAAACUGGGUCUAAUACCGGAUAGGACCAUCGUUUAGUGUCGGUGGUGGAAAGUUUUUCGGUGCAGGAUGAGCUCGCGGCCUAUCAGCUUGUUGGUGGGGUAAUGGCCUACCAAGGCGUCGACGGGUAGCCGGCCUGAGAGGGUGGACGGCCACAUUGGGACUGAGACACGGCCCAGACUCCUACGGGAGGCAGCAGUGGGGAAUAUUGCACAAUGGGCGCAAGCCUGAUGCAGCGACGCCGCGUGGGGGAUGAGGGCCUUCGGGUUGUAAACUCCUUUCAACCAUGACGAAGCGUAAGUGACGGUAGUGGUAGAAGAAGCACCGGCUAACUACGUGCCAGCAGCCGCGGUAAUACGUAGGGUGCGAGCGUUGUCCGGAAUUACUGGGCGUAAAGAGCUCGUAGGUGGUUUGUCGCGUCGUCUGUGAAAUUCCGGGGCUUAACUCCGGGCGUGCAGGCGAUACGGGCAUAACUUGAGUGCUGUAGGGGAGACUGGAAUUCCUGGUGUAGCGGUGAAAUGCGCAGAUAUCAGGAGGAACACCGAUGGCGAAGGCAGGUCUCUGGGCAGUAACUGACGCUGAGGAGCGAAAGCAUGGGUAGCGAACAGGAUUAGAUACCCUGGUAGUCCAUGCCGUAAACGGUGGGCGCUAGGUGUGGGGGUCUUCCACGACUUCUGUGCCGUAGCUAACGCAUUAAGCGCCCCGCCUGGGGAGUACGGCCGCAAGGCUAAAACUCAAAGGAAUUGACGG
rnacentral:rRNA from 1 species